AUUGAACGCUGGCGGCAGGCCUAACACAUGCAAGUCGAACGAGUGGCGGACGGGUGAGUAAUGUCUGGGAAACUGCCCGAUGGAGGGGGAUAACUACUGGAAACGGUAGCUAAUACCGCAUACUACCAGAUGAGCCCAGAUGGGAUUAGCUAGUUGGUGGGGUAAAGGCUCACCAAGACGACGAUCCCUAGCUGGUCUGAGAGGAUGACCAGCGACACUGGAACGGAGACACGGUCCAGACUCCUACGGGAGGCAGCAGUGGGGAUUAUUGCACAAUGGGCGCAAGCCUGAUGCAGCCAUGCCGCGUGUAUGAAGAAGGCCUUCGGGUUGUAAAGUACUUUCAGCGGGGAGGCGUUACCCGCAGAAGAAGCACCGGCUAACUCCGUGCCAGCAGCCGCGGUAAUAC
rnacentral:rRNA from 1 species